rnacentral:rRNA from 1 species
AUUGAACGCUGGCGGCAGGCCUAACACAUGCAAGUCGAACGAGUGGCGGACGGGUGAGUAAUAUCUGGGAAAAUGCCCGAGGGGGGGGGAUAACUACUGGAAAAGGGAGCUAAUACCGCGUACCAUCGGAUGUGCCCAGAUGGGGGUAGCUAGUAGGUGGGGGAACGGCUCACCUAGGCGACGAUCCCUAGCUGGGCUGAGAGGAUGACCAGCCACACUGGAAAUGAGCCACGGGCCAGACUCCCACGGGAGGCAGCAGUGGGGAAUAUUGCACAAUGGGCGCAAGCCUGAUGCAGCCAUGCCGCGUGGAUGAAGAAGGCCUUCGGGUUGUAAAGUUCUUUCCGCGAGGAGGCGUUACUCGCAGAAGAAGCACCGGCUAACUCCGUGCCAGCCGCCGCGGUAAUUC